rnacentral:piRNA from 1 species
CCCACUAGCAAACCCAAAGCUGAACUCAAA